rnacentral:rRNA from 1 species
AUUGAACGCUGGCGGAAUGCUUUACGCAUGCAAGUCGAACGGCAGCACGGACUUCGGUCUGGUGGCGAGUGGCGAACGGGUGAGUAAUAUAUCGGAACGUGCCCAGUCGUGGGGGAUAACGUAGCGAAAGUUACGCUAAUAUCGCAUACGCUCUAAGGAUGAAUGCGGAGGCUCUCAACGCCUCGCGCGCUGGGAGCGGCAGAACUCAGAUUAGGUAGGUGGUGGGGUAAAGGAUCGACAAGCCAACGACCUGUAGCUGGUCUGGGAGGACGACCAGCCACACUGGGACUGAGACACGGUCCAAACUCAUACGGGAGGCAGCAGUGGGGAAUUUUGGGCAAGGGACGCAAGUCUGAUCCAGCCAUUCCGCGUGCAGGAUGAAGGCCCUCGGGUUGUAAACUGCUUUUGUACGGAACGAAAAGGUCUCUCUUAAUACGGGAGGCUCAUGACGGUACCGUAAGAAUAAGCACCGGCUAACUACGUGCCAGCAGCCGCAGUAA